GAUGAAGAACGCAGCGAAAUGCGAUAAGUAAUGUGAAUUGCAGAAUUCAGUGAAUCAUCGAAUCUUUGAACGCACAUUGCGCCCGCCAGUACUCUGGCGGGCAUGCCUGUUCGAGCGUCAUUACAACCCUCAGGCCCCCGGGCCUGGCGUUGGGGAUCGGCGGAGCCCCCCGUGGGCACACGCCGUCCCCCAAAUACAGUGGCGGUCCCGCCGCAGCUUCCAUCGCGUAGUAGCUAACACCUCGCGCCUGGAGAGCGGCGCGGCCACGCCGUAAAACACCCAACUCUUCUGAAGUUGACCUCGAAUCAGGUAGGAAUACCCGCUGAACUUAAGCAUAUCAAUAAGCGGAGGA
rnacentral:misc_RNA from 1 species